GUUUAGUAAGGUGUUUUGGCACGCUAUAUUUUGGUUAUAGAGGGUGACUUGUAGUCUACUUUUCU
rnacentral:tRNA from 1 species